GCUGAGAAUGUGAUAAUGAGGUGCCUGAGUGUGAUAUUGAGGUGCCUGCUGGGAGUGUGAUAAUGAGGUGCCUGCUGAGAGUGAUAACGAGGUGCCUGCUGAGAGUGUGAUAUUGAGGUGCCUGCUGAGAGUGAUAACGAGGUGCCUGCUGAGAGUGUGAUAAUGAGGUGCCUGCUGAGAGUGUGAUAAUGAUGUAUGUGUUUUACGAGCAGGGUUAGGUGUGUUUUAUGAGCAGGGUUAGGUGUGUUUUAUGAGCAGGGUUAGGUGCGUUUUAUGAGCAGGGUUAGGUGUGUUUUAUGAGCAGGGUUAGGUGUGUUUUAUGAGCAGGGUUAUGUGUGUUUUAUGAGCAGUAUGUAUCUCUCAGUGGCUGAAAUUAGAACAUGAUGACUGACAGUUUGUU
ensembl:lncRNA